AUUGAACGCUGGCGGCAGGCCUAACACAUGCAAGUCGAGCGGAUGAAGGGAGCUUGCUCCUGGAUUCAGCGGCGGACGGGCGAGUAAUGCCUAGGAAUCUGCCUGGUAGUGGGGGAUAACGUCCGGAAACGGGCGCUAAUACCGCAUACGUCCUGAGGGAGAAAGUGGGGGAUCUUCGGACCUUACGCUAUUAGAUGAGCCUAGGUCGGAUUAGCUAGUUGGUGUGGUAAAGGCCUACCAAGGCGACGAUCCGUAACUGGUCUGAGAGGAUGAUCAGUCACACUGGAACUGAGACACGGUCCAGACUCCUACGGGAGGCAGCAGUGGGGAAUGUUGGACAAUGGGCGGAAGCCUGAUCCAGCCAUGCCGCGUGUGUGAAGAAGGUCUUCGGAUUGUAAAGCACUUUAAGUUGGGAAGAAGGGCAGUAAGUUAAUACCUUGCUGUUUUGACGUUACCAACAGAAUAAGCACCGGCUAACUUCGUG
rnacentral:rRNA from 1 species